GCUUUCCCUUCUGCCCUUGAUAGAAAAGAAGCAGGGCUCAUUGGAAACAAAACAAAACAUUCCUGAAAGUGAAAAGAAAAUGAGAUAAAAAUAAAAACCAACUCCGCUUUGAAUUCGCUGCUGGUAACAUUUUUGAGGGUGUUUUCUUCUAGUACUUUUCAGCAUGCAAUUUUAGUAAUUCCACAUAUUCCUUUCAAAAGGACACUUUACAAUCGGCAGUUCCCUGUGAAGUUACUCAUUCUGUGUGGACCUUGUACGCAAACAUUGAGGACUGCAGUGACACGCCAGGGUGCCAUCAGGGUGCACUCGCCAUGGGAUGUGUAGCAAUUCCUAGCACCCCAACAUCCUGAGGACAUCACGUCCACCUCUGGCCGGUUCUUGGGAACUCAUUUUCCAAAGGGAGACUAGAGCCAAAGGCUGUAAGCAGUUUUCAGGCUUCGGAAAUGUGCUGACCUGCCCUCUGGAUGGAGGUCUAUCUCAUUUUGCAGCCCCAUCAGCAAAAGCAGGGCAUUGUUAAAGCGGUUCAAAGUCAUGAUCGUCUCAAAAUACCUCUGCACAAGACACUUAUUCCCAAGAGGAAAGGUGCCGCACAGAGGGGAAGCCUGGCAGGCUCCACGUCACGCAAGCGCCCGAAGUGAGCGUUGGCAGGAGAGAGCGAGGCUGGCACUCUCUCCGAAGGGAGCCCAGCACUUCGCUCAGACAUUCCUGCCUGGGACGCCUCAUCUGCAGUCCUUCCUGAGGAGGGGUCGGAAAAGCCCAAAGUCACGGGCCUUUGUACUAUUCUUUCAACUUUCCUGCAAGACUGAAGUCCUGUCAAAACACAGAGUUGAAAAAAGUGAGCUACGCUCAGAAUGGGAAGGUCAAAGGUUAUCUGCUCCUUGGCCCACGGCCGGGAGGGAGACAGAAGGGCCUCCAGUCAGUUUGCAGCCUGGCUCCUGAGGAGGGAGCAGGGCCUGCACCCCAACCUCUGCUUCUCAUGUCACACCUUCUCCUCCUGCCCCUCCUGCUUUCCUCUUAGAAGGACCCUUGUGAUGACACUGAGCAGAUGGGGUAUCUGGAUAGUCCCAGGUCAUCUCCCCAUCUCCAGACCCUUCACUUAAUCACAUCAGCCAAGUCCCUUUGCCAUAUAAGCGAACCUAGUCUCAGGCGUGGGAAUUCAGAUGCAGACAUCUCUGGGGGUCCCUCGUCAGUCCACCCCAGUCCCCGCUAUCAGACCUCUCUAUCCCUAGGUUGCUAAGACUUUUGUUCCAAAUGGGUUUUAAUUUUAUCAAAUACUUAUACUGCAGCUACUGAAAUGAUCAUAUAAUUCUCUCUCUCAUUCUCUUAUGGGGUGUGACUGGUUUAUAAACGUUAAACUAAUUGCAUUUCUGGGAUGAUGUACUUCAAAUGAUUGCCAUUCUUGGUGGCGGGCUCAUCUUCACAUUAACGCACCGAUAGUCUCCACAGAAAUACUAAACAUCCCGUACUCAUUUGACUGCAGAUGCAUCUUACUAUUAUUUGUAAUAGCUAAAACCCACAGAAACAACCCAAAUGUUCAUCAGUUCUAGAGAGAACAACACAUGGUUGGCACAUGCGCGCAGCAGAAUACGCAUAGUGACAGAGAAGGGGCGCCUGCUGUGUGUGUCUCACAGACGUGAUGUCCAGUAAAGAAAGCCAGAUCAAAAGAGUGCUGAGGGGUUCCAGAUACAUGAGGCCCGAGAGCGAAUAAAAUGAUUCCCUGAUAGCAGAGUCCCUGAAGGAGAGCCCCCUUUGGGGGAAAGAGAACUGAGCAGAUGAAAAUGUUCUAGAUGGUCUCAGAAGCCCUUUUCCUCACGGAAACAGGAGCAUGGCCUCUGCCCUCCACACGGAAGCUCAGGUCUGAAGGCACCUGCAGCUGAGGGAGAGCGCCCCCACCACCUGGGACUUCAGCUCCCGGCUCCAGAGG